rnacentral:rRNA from 1 species
UACGGAGGAUGCAAGCGUUAUCCGGAAUUAUUGGGCGUAAAGCGUCCGUAGGGGGUUAAGUAAGUCUGCUGUUAAAGCGUGGAGCUUAACUCCAUAUCGGCAGUGGAAACUACUUGACUUGAGUGCGGUAGGGGUCAGGGGAAUUCCCAGUGUAGCGCUGAAAUGCGUAGAUAUUGGGAAGAACAUCGCUGGCGAAAGCGUCUGACUGGGCCUGCACUGACACUGAUUGUCGAAAGCUAGGGUAGCGAAAGGG